UAGAAGAGCAGACGGGUGCACAAUCCCAAGAUUGCGGAGGCUGUACGGCGUCUCUGAGGCACACUGCAGGCGCUAUGAACCAGAGCAAAGACUAACGUCGCCUCAUAUCAAAGCCGUGACCUCCGAUUUGCUUGGGGCUAUUUCAGCAAGUCCAGAUUUACUGCUGAGAAUGACGACAUUGUUUCUGCCCGUAAGACGUGUUAUGAGUCGGUACGCCGGAGUUUCAGAUACAAACAACCUGA